rnacentral:snRNA from 1 species
GUGCCCGGACCCUGUCGCACC